rnacentral:lncRNA from 1 species
GUAAAUCUUAGCUACGCCGCUGCUGGUGGAUUAAUCUGUUUAUGCAGUUAGCCUCUAUGCUGGGUCGGUGUAGCACUAAUCCGUGAAAGGCCCACUGUUCUCUUUCAUCCUGCGAUCAUUUGUCUCUCACUGUGCUGAUGUCACAUUUUAAUGAAUUUUUAGCAAUCUGAGUAAUGCCAGAUAACCAGACUUGCAACUCCCCACAGCAUGGCAUGCUGUUUUCAUUGCGGCACAAAAAAUAAAAAUCCUAUUCCCCUGUUCAGGUAGGAAUUACAUAAAUUAGGAGAAGAAGGUAAAAUGGGAUUUGAAGCACCAGGCUCCUCAAUUUCAUAAAAUCUUUAAUGACCAUAUAAAUUAACCCUGGAAAGGCAAAAGGUCACUGACACCCAUUUGCAUACACUCUUCUAUUUGCUUUUGAUAAGCAGAGCUUUUAUGCAGAGAACAUGAUACAAUUAACCCUUCAAGAACCGUACAAAACGCGACUCUGGACAUUUUAAGUGUCAAGCAUUAACUGAAAAUUACACAC